rnacentral:lncRNA from 1 species
AAGAACGACAACUACUACAUUGCGUCAACCCCAAGCUAGUUGUAGAUGAAGUGCAAAGUAAGAGAAACGUUGUCCAGCUGAGACCACCAAAAGCCCUCAAAACAAAGUUCAGAAGCAAUAACCAUGAAAAAUAUUGGUAUAUAUUCUUAUAAUCCUUCAUUUUACUGACAUCUUUCUAUACAGAAUCCACCAGUCAGAACUAGUUUCUCUCUCUGUAAAUACAUUGAAUCACAUAAAAGUUAAUUGAUAGGAGAAAAUACAGUAGCCAACCCUUGAUCUACUUUGAUAUGGAGCUUGUCGUAGGUCAUCAAUGUUUUCUGAUCACACUUGUAAGUUCCUUUACCUCUGGCAAGGACCUCACCGUCUACAUCAAUAAUCCCUUCCUUGUUUGGGUCAUCUGCUCGUGGA